UACGAAGGGGGCUAGCGUUGUUCGGAAUUACUGGGCGUAAAGCGCACGUAGGCGGACAUUUAAGUCAGGGGUGAAAUCCCGGAGCUCAACUCCGGAACUGCCUUUGAUACUGGGUGUCUUGAGUGUGGAAGAGGUGAGUGGAAUUCCGAGUGUAGAGGUGAAAUUCGUAGAUAUCGGGAGGAACACCAGUGGCGAAGGCGACUACCUGGCCUGUUCUUGACGCUGAGGCGCGAAAGCUAGGGGAGCAAACGGG
rnacentral:rRNA from 1 species